ensembl:lncRNA
CACAUGGAGCACUUCCUGUCUGCCUGCUGCUGCACUAGGCUGUAAGGGUCUGGGGGCUCAGGGCUGAAUGAGAUGUGCUUCCUGCUGCAGGGGAAUCAAUACACAGAUGUCUCCCUCCCAGGCUGCCUGGUGGGGCAGGCCCACCUCAGAUCUCCGCAGACACCCCCAGUUUGCUCCCUAUGGCUGUGUUCUGAUCCUUCCCUGGCCACACCUGGCAGCCCCUCAGGUGGGGCCUGAUGGUGGAGUGGUGUGCAGGGGAGGGACAGAGCUGUGGAGGGUAAGCCAGUGGGCCCCGCCCUUUUAGGGCGGAGAGUGGGGGGUGUGUGUUGUCUGCUGUGGGGAUAAUGUGUUUAUGUCUGUGUGAGUGGCUGUUGCUGGAUACCCACAUGGUCCACAGUGGCUGGGGUCUACUUUUUGGUGUCCCAGCUCUGCAGAAGAGCUCCCCACCCAGCAAUUAGGGAGCUGGGCUGGCCAGUACAGCCAGCAGGGAGUGGGUGGGCGGUACCAAAACUUGGCAAGUAUGCCAGAAACUAAGGCCAGGCCCAAAUGUAGGGGGAGGGCCCAAGAGAGCUGAAGCUGGGGCGUCUCAGAGGGAACCAGAUCCUGUUAGCUCAUCGCUGCCAGGAAAACCAGUUCCCUGUCCCCAAGCCGGCUGGGCAGCUCUGGGGCCAGCUGAUCACAGGUGCCACUGUAGUGGCUACACCUUGGGGCAGCCCCUCCAUCCUGCCUUUAGUGGGUCCCUCAGCGUCCCAGCUGUCCUCUGACCCCCUCCCCAAGCAGACUAGGCCCAAGAGCUGAUUCUUUCCAGAACUGAGACUAGCUCCCCGCACUGGUCUCCCUGCCUUUGGUCCCUCUUGUUCUCAACUCGAUAGUGUGUGUCCUCCAGUGGCUCCUUGGGUCCCUUAGCCUAUCACUUGAGGCUUCUGACAGUCUUGCCUCCAGGGUCAUUGAUGGUGGUACCCCUCCUAAUCCCAACAGCCCUCUGGGCCCUCGUUCUCCAGGCAGACUCCCCCCGCCGACCAUAAUGCUCAGAUUUUCCCUCCUUAGGGGAGCCUUCCCUGAACUCACACCCUGUCCGGGCAAUUCCUUGCUCCCUAUGCCCACAGCCCCUGUUUCCCUCCACCAGCUCUGUCUGUUCCUUUGGAAUGGUCAGUUUGCCUCUGUUUUCCACUGGGCUGUGGACAUGGCGGAGGGAGGGCCACAUCUGUUUUCAUCCCCAGAGCCUGCUGUGGUUCCAGCCCAGAAAGCACUGGGGGGGCUGUGGAGUCAAGAGAGACCAGACCCCUCCCCUGACUGGCAUGGGUUCAAGCUAGAGGUGGUAGGGGGAGGUGGCAAAGGCUCAAAUGCGAAGCGUUCAUUCACCUUUUGUGCCACCUGGUCCAACCAGGUCUGUGCCAAGCACCACCAUUCACUGCACAGUGAUGUAUUGAGUGCCUCCUUUGGGGAGGAAGCUGAGAUGGUCAAGGCCUUUGCCCCUAUGGUCCUUUCCAGAGGGUGAGGGAAGGAGACAACAUGUACGGGUCCCCAGUAGUGACUGGUCAGAAAGGGGCCAACAUUACAGAGGUGGGGACAGCAAAGGGCCUGCACAGUGGUGAGCAAGCCAGCAGAGCACGCAGAGGCAGAGGGGGUCCAUCUGGGGGAUUGAGAGUAGAUUUCUUUGAGACUGGUUGGCUGUGGGUAUUAGGGAAACUUUUCCCAAAGAGGGUAUAAGCCCCACAGUGACAAUUCAGAUUGUAAUAAUCCACCAUUCUAGUGGGUGGGGGCUUAGCCCUCUAUAUUGGAUUCAGAAAAAAAUAAUGUAGAAAAAACAAGAAAUAUGAAAUAACGCAGCAAAAACAAAAAGGGAAAUAUGAGAGGUGAAGUUUGAAUGCCAUGGGAGUUCAGAGGAGAGCUGGCUCACUCAUCCCUCCAGGUGGUGGGGUGGGGUGAGGGGACAAAGGCUGACCAAACUUUGGGCAGGCACUUCCAAGCUUUCUGACUGGGCCUUCCUGUGUGCUUCCUUGUGCAGCCCAGUUCUAGCAAGAAUCCUGGUAAGUUAGGUUAGCCAGAGUCUCCCAUCUUCUAUGUCUGAACACCCUCCGUAUUCUAACCUGUUUCCUCUACCUGUACCAUCUCCCACAUUAUGUCUGGUCACUCUGGCCUGCCUUCACUGAGAAUUCUCUGCAGUCAUUUAGCCAGUUCCCCCUGCCCCCUGAGGUUUCCUCUUAGUACAUCCACUGACCUCCACCCUGCACCUUGGCCUUGAAAUAUACUUUUCCUUGUAUUUGGAAUUGAGGCCACUCUCUGACCCUUGCAUAAAAUCCCAUUCCAGUAGCCCCCACUGAAUAAAGUCUUCCUUUCCACUCAACACAUG